rnacentral:misc_RNA from 1 species
UUUCCGUAGGUGAACCUGCGGAAGGAUCAUUAAAAAAUUGGACUCCAUUGGUGAGUUCAUUAAUAAUCCCUACCCUUUGUGAAUUUGUUUGUUUGAAUAAUUUUUUUUCCAAAAAAAAUUAUUGAAUGUCUUUCCUUGUUUUGGUGGAGCUUGUAAAGUGAAACCAGGCAGGGGAAUGGCAAACAAUAAUUAUUUUUGAAAAAGACCUUUUUUUAAAAUUAAACUUUUUGUAUUCAUUUGUCUAAAAUUAAUUUUUAUAAUAUAAAAACAACUUUUGACAAUGGAUCUCUUGGUUCUCGCAACGAUGAAGAACGCAGCAAAAUGCGAUAAGUAGUGUGAAUUGCAGAAUACGUGAAUCAUCGAAUCUUCGAACGCAUAUUGCACUUUUUUAGUUUACUAAAAAAGUAUGUCUGUUUGAGUAUCAGUAAAAUAUUCUCAUAAAAAACAUUGUUUUUUUUAUGGUUAUGAGUGUUUUACAACGAUAACAAGUUGUUUCACUUUAAAUUCUUUGUUAUCAAAAAAAUCAUUAAAAGCUAAUUUUAAAGAUUUUUUAAAAUUGGAUAAAAUUUUCCCGUAAAAAGGAAUAACCUAAACAAUUUUAAAAAAUUAAAAUUGGUUUGAUUUUUUUGAAACCCAAAGGAAAAAAAAACGAAAUUAACUUGAUCUCAAAUCAGAUAAGAGUACCCGCUGAACUUAAGCAUACCAAUAAGCGGAGGAAAAGAAACUAACUAGGAUUCCCUCAGUAACGGCGAGUGAAGCGGGAAGAGCUCAAAUUUGAAAUCUUCAAGGUUUUACCUUGACGAAUUGUAGUUUAAAGAAGUGUUUUCUGUUGGAGUUUUGGUAAAAGUUCUUUGGAAAAGGACAUCAUAGAGGGUGAGAAUCCCGUAUUUGACCAUUAUCUCCAGCUUUGUGAUACACUUUCAAAGAGUCGGAUUGUUUGGGAAUGCAGUCCAAAAUGGGUGGUAAAUUUCAUCUAAAGCUAAAUACUGGCGAGAGACCAAUAGCGAACAAGUACCGUGAGGGAAAGAUGAAAAGAACUUUGAAAAGAGAGUUAAACAGUACGUGAAAUUGUCAAAAGGGAAGCGUUUGACACCAGUGUUGUUUUCUCGAAAAUCAAUUAAAAAAGGCCGGAUUUUGUGUUGUAUUGACUUUAUCAGCUUUCUGCACUCUUUUCUUGUCUUUUUUAAUGCACUUUUCGUUUAACAAGUCAACAUCAAUUUCUUUUGUUGUAAAAGGGUCAUUGGAAGGUGGCUUUCUUUUCGGAGAAAGUGUUUAUAGCCUUUGGCCUCUGCAAUCGGAGAGAUUGAGGUCUGCAGCGUAGAUCCUUCGGGGUUAGAUACAUUUGUGCUAAGUUAUAGCCUUUCAUAGACAACUUGUUGACUAUGAUCAGUCAUGUAGCUUACUCGCUUAUGCUAUUUUACCUACGCUUAGGAUGUUG